rnacentral:tRNA from 1 species
GCCUGGCUGGCUCAGUCGGUAGAGCUUGUGACACUUGAUCUCAAGGUUGUGAGUUCAAGCCCCACACUGGGCA